AAGAUAGCCAAAAAGAAGCUAAAGAAACAAGAUGCCAAAACUAAAAGGGUUGGCAAUGAUCCAGAAUAUAAGAAGUUGUUAGAAACUUACUGCGUGGAGGAA